ensembl:lncRNA
AGAAUGAAUACAAGUAUCAGACGUGGUUGUAGGAUAAAACAUAAUGCUUUUGUUGGAUAAACUAUGUGACUGCAGAUUACUCUGUUUGUUUACAUUAUUCAUUUAGCUAAUUAUUGUUUGCCAUGAAUUAAGAAGGCGUUGAAUGUGUUUAUCCAGUGCGACUGGUUGUGAGCCGUCUUAUCCGUAACUUCGUCUCCAUAUCGUGUGCUUGAAGAGCUCCAUUAAAACCAGUGUGAUGAUCAAUGACCAGCAGUCACCUGAUGAAUACAGCCAUCAGUCGACUGCAUUAAUAGAGUAUUAUUUUAUACUCAUUUGAUAUACUUGUUAUUCUUUGAGGAGAUGUCCGACUUCAAACGCAUGAGGUUCAUUAUUGGACAUGAAAGAUCACCAAUAAAACCUCAGAGUUAAUAUGACCUUAUACAUGCCUUAUACAUUAAUUACGCCAAAUAUAUCCUUUAUUACUGAGUAAUAUUGCUUACAAGUAGUAAGAGAACGGAUGUUUGGCAUCAUUUAUGAAUCUCCUUCAACCAGGACCCAGACAACACAAAGUCAUCACGCUGAUGGAAAUACAUUUUUAUUCUGACACCCAAGUCGACAGAGUAACUCCACUAACUGAUAAUGCUGAUGCAACAUUGUUCCCCAGAGGCACACUGGGGAGGAAGGUAUCAAUCUCCAGUUGGCUGUAGGUGAAACACCGGGUUAGUUUAGCUGUUAAAUACCGGACGGGCCGAUACUGUGAGCCGGUCACUCUGUCAGCGUUUGUGUUGAAUUGUCCUGGAAGCCACGGUGAUGAAUACGUCUGACAUGACAUCUAUCAAGUGGAAUUAUAAUGGUGGAAUCAUCUUAUGCAUUCUCUCACAUCCUUCAUUUUACAUGCAGUGCCGUCAGGACUGCAGCGCAAAAUGUGCUGAUACGUUUGAAUCGAAGUUGUGACAAUAUUACUCAAUCUUAAGUUAUUUAUGUUGUUCCCUUUUAAUUAAGAGUAACAUGUUGUUAACCGUAAUUCUCAAAAAGUAUUAAAUAAUAACAAUAACAAUCGUUGUAUUAAAGAAAAAAACGUUUACCGUAAAUGCCAUAGAAUAGUAUCCUGUAAGACAUGGCACUUUACUUAAGUGUGUCCUAAAAAUGUCAUAAAAGUCACACUAUGUAAUCUUGAGAAGUAGGAAUUAUAAGAUGCCGUUUCACAUACUUUGUGAUGCAGAACGAAACAGUAAUUGCUUGUUUGUUGUUUGUUUGUUUCUCUGCUUUCAUGGAAUCGUGAAAAGUCAUUAAAUUCAUAGAAAGGGAUUGAACCAAGGUCAUAGUAGAGCAGUAAAUCAUACAUUUAUUGUAUGUGAAGGUCUUACAAAUGGCAUUAAAUUCAUUUGAAAAAGUCAUAGAGUAGAAAGUCAUAUUUACGUAAUCAUUCAUGUUGAGUAUUAAAAUAUAAACAUGCACGCUUACGCUAGCAUGAAAUUACACUUGAACUAUAAAUGCAUAGUAAUAAUGGGUGAAGGCCGCUUAAAGGCCGGAUUGCACGAACAACAUGUAUCUCAAGUCACAACACCAGCACGCAAACAUGUUCUAAAAAGAUGGAGCACUAUCUGGAUCAAAUGCAGUCCAACAGGAACCACUUGUUCCCCAUUUCAUAAAGAACGUGUCCAUACAUAGAACUACGGCAAUCGCUUAUAUGCAAAUCAUUUUACACACAUCUUGUAAACAUCCUGAUAUGAAGAACUCAUGAACACCAGAUGCGCGAUGAACGUGAGCCAAGAGGGCGGGACCGCCUUGUGCUCCAAUGAGGCCUCUGGAAGAGCCCCCUCCAACAGCAGUCCGACCAAUCACAAAUGCCCUUAAGGACUAUAAAACUUUGUUGCGCACUCUGUUUAAGCGCCUUUUAUUCUGCUGAACUUUUCAGUGAAUUCUAGGUCCGUGCACGUUUAAGUGCAGGACACAAUACUCCUUGGGUUAAAAUAAAGUAUCCGCUUUGACUUUAAACAUUCAGCUGUAGUUAUUUGUCCGUCUCAUUACAUUUAUAAUGCCGUAAAGUAAGAUAUGAUGGAACAUUAUGCUGAAGAGUAAUAUAAAAAGUAGGUCAUUAAUUCAUGAAACGUGAGUCAGGAUAAGAUGUCACAAAUGUCAUGAACAAGUUCUAAUAUGUUAUGCAUACGUUGAAAAUGGUAGUAUUGUUUGUAUGGUUGUAUUGCUUGUAUGGUAGUUUUGCUUGUAGUAUUGCUUGUAUGGUAGUAUUGUUUAUAUGGUUGUAUUGUUUAUAUGGUAGUAUUGUUUAUAUGGUUGUAUUGUUUGUAUGGUAGUAUUGUUUGUAUGGUAGUAUUGUGUGUAUGGUUGUAUUGUUUGUAUGGUAGUAUUGUGUGUAUGGUAGUAUUGUGUGUAUGGUUGUAUUGUUUGUAUGGUAGUAUUGUUUGUAUGGUAGUAUUGUUUGUAUGGUUGUAUUGUUUGUAUGGUAGUAUUGUGUGUAUGGUUGUAUUGUUUGUAUGGUAAUAUUGUUUGUAUGGUUGUAUUGUUUGUAUGGUAGUAGUGUUUGUAUGGUUGUAUUGCUUGUAUUGCUACCAUACAAACAAUACUACCAUACAAACAAUUGUAUGGUAGUAUUGUUUGUAUGGUUGUUUUGUUUGUAUGGUAGUAUUGUGUAUAUGGUAGUAUUGUUUGUAUGGUAAUAUUGUGUGUUGUAAAAACGUCACACUGUGUCAAAAAUAGUCACAGUAAAAAGCACUUAAAAAGUUGAGUUUAAAUUGCGGCUCAUAAAAAGUCACGUUAUGUCACAAAAGGUCACGACACAAACCGGAGCGUCCACACGGUGUCCGGGAGGAGACUCAGGCAGCACGUGGACAUCAGACAGCCAGAGGCUCAGACUCCACCAGGAGGCACCAUCAUGCAUCCACGGCUCCACGCUCAAUCCGUCUGCACGUCCAUACAAGCUGGGCAGUAGAACUCGGUCCCGGACGUCGCCACCGAGUGGAUUGUUUCAGCCUCCGGCUUCCUCUUCCCGACUGAAUUAGCCUCCUGGUCAUGUGUGUCGUUUUCCUCCCCCAACUGGAUCUCAAGGUUCUGUCAUGCAAACUACUUUUUGCCAAAUCAAAUUAAAUGGAUUGGAGGGAUGACAACCGUUCCCAGUGAAUGGAUUUGCAAAGGGACUUAGUCCACUCUUGGCACACUUCCCCUCUCCAAGAAGCAGCCGCAAAGACAGAGCGCCUAUGCAGCUGCCGCUGCACAUCGAGGCAAUCACAGUUCAAUUAUUUGGUCCUCCCGCAGCGUCUUUCAUACAUAACGUGAUUGGAUACAUCCAGUUGAGAUCUGGCAGACCCGCCUUUAAUCUAGUUACCGGCACAUCUGGAUUAAAAUGAACUGUGAGCCGAGCAGAUGUAAUGCGAUACUGUUUUACACGUGCUGUAUCAUCAGAGCAGAACCUUGUUUUACGUGACGUCUGAGGAAUGGAGGUUGUUCUCUCGGGGGAAGCGAUCGGAGGGCUGCGCGAUUGCAUCAGUUCUUACUCUCAACCUGGGAGGGAAAAAAAGGCAUUCCCAGGAAAGAGACGCAGGGAUUCGUCCUCCUGGAGGCUUCAAACAACACCCCCCCCUGACGGCAGCUGAAACCUAAUGCUGACCUAAAACCUGAAGCCUAAUGAAGAGUUCAUCCAUGAGGAAGAACUGAAGCUACAUCUUCAGUACCGAAAACACAUUGAUGGCCAACAACUUUCUUGACACAGAAAUGUAACAAUUUAAAAUGUUCCAGGAAAUGACCAAGUGCCAAAGGCUUCACUUCACUUUUGUAUUAAUUCCCAACAUGUUUAUGAUGAGACUAUUUUAGAGUCAUAAUUGUAACUGGCUGCGUUCAUGGUGAGCGCCGAAUAAAUGACCCCAAGGAACCGAAUAUUCCUCAUUCUGACGCGACCUCUUAAAUGCUCAAACCGCCGGCGCCAAGCAGGCCGCGGCCGCCUCAGGAGUGGCAGCUUCCGAGACGGGCGGGUACCGUCCAGCUGUGCGCUGCUGGUACUUUAAGGUUUGAGCGAGCCGACAGCUUCGCGGCCGC